rnacentral:ribozyme from 1 species
GAGGGAGAUGUAAGAAAGGAAAGAGAAGAAGUGGGAGAAUGGGACACAGAUUUGGUAGCACUAUUAGUUGUUGAU